AACGAGGCGAACCGGGGGAACUGAAACAUCUAAGUACCCCGAGGAAAAGAAAUCAACCGAGAUUCCCCCAGUAGCGGCGAGCGAACGGGGAGCAGCCCGGAGUCUGAAUCAGCUUGUGUGUUAGUGGAAGCGUCUGGAAAGUCGCAGGGUACAGGGUGAUACUCCCGUACACUAAAACACACAGGUUGUGAACUCGAAGAGUAGGGCGGGACACGUGGUAUCCUGUCUGAAUAUGGGGGGACCAUCCUCCAAGGCUAAAUACUCCUGACUGACCGAUAGUGAACCAGUACCGUGAGGGAAAGGCGAAAAGAACCCCGGCGAGGGGAGUGAAAAAGAACCUGAAACCGUGUACGUACAAGCAGUAGGAGCC
rnacentral:rRNA from 1 species